CUGUCCAAGACCCCUCUGUGCCCCCCGGCCCAGGUGGGGACUUUCUGCAGGGGGUGGAACCAGCCUCCUGGGGCAGCCCCGGGCUCUGCCGAUACCAGCCCCUGAGCCGGAGCCUGCAGGCUGCAGAAUGACAUCCACAUCUUGCUCCAGAUCCUGCCAUCCUCCCAGGGCACAGGGAAGAGACAUGGCUGCUGCAGUGGUGCUGGCUCAGGGGCUGGUGACCUUCGAGGAGGUGGCUGUGUAUUUUACUGAAGAGCAAUGGGCUCUGC